UGUUCCUCCCUCCCUGGAGGGCAGCAGCUCCAAGGGCUCCACACAACACAAAAUUACAGCAGCUUCAUUCAAGAGACGCUGAAGAAAUGCUGUUAUAGAUAAUGCCACAUUGGCUUCAUAAAACUUUGAAGGAGAGAUACUGUUGGAAAGAAGGAAGCAAACAAGCAAAGGAGGAAGGAAGGAAGCAAGGAAGGAAGGAAGCCCACAAAGAGAGAAGAGACAAAACAGAUUAAUUCCUUUUCUUUUGGUUCACCUCUUCUGAACUUUCCUGUAGUCGCUGCUGUUCACAAAAAGCCAUCACCAUUUUCAGAAUUUUUUCAGGGUGCUUGUCCCCAUUUCGUUUCUUAAGAUGGAUAUGUGGAAUCCGGCAUCACUGUGACAAAAUCUGUCCUUUGUUGCAUCUGCACCGGCAUCCAAUUCCCCAGCUGAGCAUUCCAGAGCUCUGGCAAACCACGCUGAGCAAAUGGAGACUGAAGCUGCCUUGAUCUUUUGUAAAAUAGCAAAAUAAUAGCAGCAGCAAGAAUUAUCAGAGGUCUGUCAGCAUUUCUAUAGCACUUAUCUGUCUCUCAGGGGAUGCACAAGUUGUCACAAGAAUCCAAAGCAGUGGUAAGGAUGGCAUCUAUAAGCAUGGCUGGAAGACGGUCACACCACCACCAAGAGGGAAAAAACAACUUUUCAAUUUUCUAGUCUUCACAUACAGCAAUAAUUCAGUACUUCAGAAAUAAAGAUGAAAAACAGAAGCCAAACAACAUCACCAAACAGCUUACAUUUCUGUGGCAUACAGGUCCCUUUGGAGACACUUGCCUAAUUUUGAGCUCAAACCACAAGCAUUUACUCCCUAAUUCCAGCUUCAGCUCAGUAAUGAGACUUACAUUCAUCUUCUGUAGUGCACAGAGCUCUCCUGGUGUGAAAUUCACUCUUAGUGUAAAAGAUAUGAAGGUCUAAUGUGCAGAAAGAGCUUCUCUCUUAUAAAGUACUGCUGUUAGGAAAUAUUAUGGUCAGGUGCUUAAAUAAAUGUUUAUCACUUUCCAUAAAUGUCUCAUAGCUCUUUUUUAAAGAACUUACUAGCAAAGGUAUGCCUUUGCAACUACAAAAAAAGAGAAACAAACAAGAAAGGUGAGAUCCAAAAUAAUGAAAAGUGCUGACCAUAUAGCCCGUGCUAAGGUUAUUUUAAAAAGACAAUAAAUUUUGUUGUUCUUGUUGACAUAAGACUAAAUAUAAAGCAAAAGACACAUGCACAAGUGCAAAAUUAUCCUGACAAUCUUGGGAGUCUGCUUGAACCCUGUUUCCAAAAUGGCAAUAUUUUCUUGUAAGCCUGUAAUGAUUUUCCCAUCUGGGCCAUGUACAACUUUUGUUUAAAACAGAAAAUUGAUCACGGCAGGAGAUGCAAAGAGAGAGGAACUUCUUCCAGUCAUUGUGGAAUUAUAUGAAAACUGAGUAACUGAUAAUCAGCCUCUUACAAGGCUCUAUACUAACUAACAUUCCCAAUCAAUCCCAGUGAUUUUACCAAGUCUGUGUGUAGUCAUACAUUAUUUGAGUAUAUUAUUGCUCAGCUCACAUUAGCACAAUCUGCCCCUACUAUUCUGUAUUUACACAUAAAAUAAAUUUCUGAGCCAAACUGCAAAUAGAUUUCUAGCAUUUUACAACAGAACCAAAUAGCCCUUAAAAUGUGAUGUAUCUACUUGUUCAGACACUUUGGUGAUUCUUGCCUUACUGAAUACAGUAUUUUCUUUGUUGUUUCCAUUGUUGUAUUUGUUUGCAAUAAAGUAUUUGUGACAGUUUCUAUUACUAGCUUCUAGGCUGACUACAGCAACAAAAUACAGUAAU